UUGCUUAAUGACAUAUCAGGCUAACUUGUAUUUCAGCGAAUUAUCGUUAGGGUUUGUAAGGGAUAUGGCGUAGAUUUAGACAUCUUACAUGUAAGUCUUAGCUCAUUGUUUCCUGAAAUAUGAAUGUUCGAAAUUAUGCAAGAAUUUAAUAUUAGGUCUUUACAAACUUAAAAGUACAUGAAAGACUGACCAUGGAAGGCAGGCGCUUAAAUUUUUCUUAAAUAGCCUAAUUUUUUUAUGUUUUUAAUGGGUUCAAACAGACUGAGUUGAUUAUUUCUCGGUUAGAGCAGGAUGAAUAUUAUUCUUUAUUGAAGGAAAUA